rnacentral:misc_RNA from 1 species
UGGCUCUCGCAACGAUGAAGAACGCAGCGAAAUGCGAUACGUAAUGUGAAUUGCAGAAUUCCGUGAAUCAUCGAAUCUUUGAACGCACCUUGCACUCUGUUUCGGCAGAGUAUGCCUGUUUGAGAAUCUAGUACACUCUUGCACCCUCGGUUUCUCUUUGGACGGACAACGGACGGACACAGACAAAAACCGAGGACAGCAGAUUUGGAGCGUCUGCUCUCGCGGCUCUCGCGGCCCGCGGAACAGUGCUCUGGAAUAGAUUGCCGCCUCUGACGGACGCGUACAAAACCCAGUGUUUGAAUAGGGCUCGCCCUUUGCAGCGCACUCGGGUCGCGCCGAGUCAUUCGAGAGGUGCUCACCAAUCACAUCGCGUGCGUGUUGGUCCGUCCGACGGACAAACGGGCGCGCGAACACCAUGGUCUCAAAUCAGGCAGGAGGACCCGCUGA